AGCGACUAGACCAAACCCUAAGGUGGGUAGUUUUCUACCUCGCCGCCGUGUCUUUCCAGUCUUCGCAUCGCCUCGGUUUCUUUGUUCUCCUCUCCAAAUUAGGUUACGUUCUAUUUGCAAGCGGCGACACCGUUUGUGGAAGAGACAGGUCUUCUGCCGAGUCGCGGUGAAUGCUGCCUGCUCUGCAGGAUGGUUCGCCAUCUUCAAUGAAUCGCAACAGAGAGAAGCUCAAAUGAAAACAGGGUGAUGCUUUAGAAAGAAUUUUCUAGUCAUUCCUAGAGCACACUUCACACAUAGACGUAGAAUCCUUCUUUGGUAGGACUACUAUUGAACUGAAUGUCUAAUGGUCUGUGAGUUAGGAUGUUCAAUUUCUUAACCAUUUCUGGCUAAUAACAUUUGUUUGGCAAACUAACGAUUCCAAGAGCUUACAUGGCAUAUCAAGAGACCUAUUCUUUGAAGAACAUGGGACAGGGUCUCUCGAUGUGAUGAGCAUGUGCAAAAAAUUCCCGGCACUCGCUUUUCAAAGGCGUUACAUCCAUGGUAUAUUUGACUUUACAAUGGAUGUGUCAACGAAAGCGUAAAUUAAUAUGUUUUACUGGCACACGCAGGACUACAUGAACAGAAGCAGGCUGGAUGUGGUUACUAAGUUCCUGCUUGUGGAUAUUUACUAUAUUUUGUGAAGCUUAACACUUUGUAUCCGACAUUGUUAAUUUAUUUCUGGAUGAUGAGAAGUAGAUGCACUUCUAUUAAUUUCAGCUGGUUUAGGACAUAAUACGUGUUAGUUUCCUGUUCUCAGUUUUUUUGUGAGGCAAGGUCUAUUUUAAGUUUUAAGUUUUCUAUUUGGCUGUCAUUGGUAUUUGA